rnacentral:rRNA from 1 species
GACGAACGCUGGCGGCGUGCUUAACACAUGCAAGUCGAACGGAAAGGCCCUGCUUUUGUGGGGUGCUCGAGUGGCGAACGGGUGAGUAACACGUGAGUAACCUGCCCUUGACUUUGGGAUAACUUCAGGAAACUGGGGCUAAUACCGGAUAGGAGCUCCUGCUGCAUGGUGGGGGUUGGAAAGUUUCGGCGGUUGGGGAUGGACUCGCGGCUUAUCAGCUUGUUGGUGGGGUAGUGGCUUACCAAGGCUUUGACGGGUAGCCGGCCUGAGAGGGUGACCGGCCACAUUAGGACUGAGAUACGGACCAGACUCCUACGGGCGGCAGCAGUGGGGAAUCUUGCACAAUGGGCCGAAGCCUGAUGCAGCAACGCCGCGUGCGGAAUGAUGGCCUUCGGGUUGUAAACCGCUUUCGCCUGUGACGAAGCGUGAGUGACGGUAAUGGGUAAAGAAGCACCGGCUAACUACGUG